rnacentral:rRNA from 1 species
GGGCACUCUAAAGGGACGUGCCGGUGUUAAACCGGAGGAAGGUGGGGAUGACGUCAAGUCCUCAUGGCCUUUAUGACCAGGGCUACACACGUACUACAAUGGCCGAUACAAAGGGCAGCGACACUGCGAGGUGAAGCCAAUCCCGUAAAAUCGGUCUCAGUCCGGAUUGGAGUCUGCAACUCGACUCCAUGAAGUUGGAAUCGCUAGUAAUCGUGGAUCAGCAUGCCACGGUGAAUACGUUCCCGGGCCUU